rnacentral:rRNA from 1 species
AUACGUAGGUGGCAAGCGUUGUCCGGAAUUAUUGGGCGUAAAGCGCGCGCAGGCGGUCCUUUAAGUCUGAUGUGAAAGCCCACGGCUCAACCGUGGAGGGUCAUUGGAAACUGGGGGACUUGAGUGCAGAAGAGGAAAGUGGAGUUCCAAGUGUAGCGGUGAAAUGCGUAGAGAUUUGGAGGAACACCAGUGGCGAAGGCGACUUUCUGGUCUGUAACUGACGCUGAGGCGCGAAAGCGUGGGGAGCAAACAGGAUUAGAUACCCUGGUAGUCCACGCCGUAAACGAUGAGUGCUAAGUGUUAGGGGGUUUCCGCCCCUUAGUGCUGCAGCUAACGCAUUAAGCACUCCGCCUGGGGAGUACGGUCGCAAGACUGAAACUCAAAGGAAUUGACGGGG